AUGGGUGUAGUGUAACGGUAGCACGACAGUCUCCAAAACUGUUAGUCGGGGUUCAAAUCCCUGCACCUAUGCCA
rnacentral:tRNA from 1 species